AGAGUUUGAUCCUGGCUCAGGACGAACGCUGGCGGCGCGCCUAACACAUGCAAGUCGAACGAGAGAUGAAGAGCUUGCUCUUCAAAUCGAGUGGCGAACGGGUGAGUAACGCGUGAGGAACCUGCCUCAAAGAGGGGGACAACAGUUGGAAACGACUGCUAAUACCGCAUAAGCCCACGGCUCGGCAUCGAGCAGAGGGAAAAGGAGUAAUCCGCUUUGAGAUGGCCUCGCGUCCGAUUAGCUAGUUGGUGAGGUAACGGCCCACCAAGGCGACGAUCGGUAGCCGGACUGAGAGGUUGAACGGCCACAUUGGGACUGAGACACGGCCCAGACUCCUACGGGAGGCAGCAGUGGGGAAUAUUGCACAAUGGGGGAAACCCUGAUGCAGCGACGCCGCGUGGAGGAAGAAGGUCUUCGGAUUGUAAACUCCUGUUGUUGAGGAAGAUAAUGACGGUACUCAACAAGGAAGUGACGGCUAACUACGUGCCAGCAGCCGCGGUAAAACGUAGGUCACAAGCGUUGUCCGGAAUUACUGGGUGUAAAGGGAGCGCAGGCGGGAGAACAAGUUGGAAGUGAAAUCCAUGGGCUCAACCCAUGAACUGCUUUCAAAACUGUUUUUCUUGAGUAGUGCAGAGGUAGGCGGAAUUCCCGGUGUAGCGGUGGAAUGCGUAGAUAUCGGGAGGAACACCAGUGGCGAAGGCGGCCUACUGGGCACCAACUGACGCUGAGGCUCGAAAGUGUGGGUAGCAAACAGGAUUAGAUACCCUGGUAGUCCACACCGUAAACGAUGAUUACUAGGUGUUGGAGGAUUGACCCCUUCAGUGCCGCAGUUAACACAAUAAGUAAUCCACCUGGGGAGUACGACCGCAAGGUUGAAACUCAAAGGAAUUGACGGGGGCCCGCACAAGCAGUGGAGUAUGUGGUUUAAUUCGACGCAACGCGAAGAACCUUACCAAGUCUUGACAUCCUGCGACGCACAUAGAAAUAUGUGUUUCCUUCGGGACGCAGAGACAGGUGGUGCAUGGUUGUCGUCAGCUCGUGUCGUGAGAUGUUGGGUUAAGUCCCGCAACGAGCGCAACCCUUAUCCUCAGUAGCCAGCAGUAAGAUGGGCACUCUGGGGAGACUGCCAGGGAUAACCUGGAGGAAGGUGGGGAUGACGUCAAAUCAUCAUGCCCCUUAUGAUUUGGGCUACACACGUGCUACAAUGGCGUAAACAAAGGGAAGCGAGAGGGUGACCUGGAGCAAAUCCCAAAAAUAACGUCCCAGUUCGGACUGUAGUCUGCAACCCGACUACACGAAGCUGGAAUCGCUAGUAAUCGCAGAUCAGAAUGCUGCGGUGAAUACGUUCCCGGGUCUUGUACACACCGCCCGUCACACCAUGGGAGUUGGGAAUGCCCGAAGCCAGUGACCUAACCGAAAGGAAGGAGCUGUCGAAGGCAGGCUCGAUAACUGGGGUGAAGUCGUAACAAGGUAGCCGUAUCGGAAGGUGCGGCUG
rnacentral:rRNA from 1 species